rnacentral:rRNA from 1 species
AUUGAACGCUGGCGGCAGGCCUAACACAUGCAAGUCGAGCGGAUGAGAAGAGCUUGCUCUUCGAUUCAGCGGCGGACGGGUGAGUAAUGCCUAGGAAUCUGCCUGGUAGUGGGGGACAACGUUUCGAAAGGAACGCUAAUACCGCAUACGUCCUACGGGAGAAAGCAGGGGACCUUCGGGCCUUGCGCUAUCAGAUGAGCCUAGGUCGGAUUAGCUAGUUGGUGAGGUAAUGGCUCACCAAGGCGACGAUCCGUAACUGGUCUGAGAGGAUGAUCAGUCACACUGGAACUGAGACACGGUCCAGACUCCUACGGGAGGCAGCAGUGGGGAAUAUUGGACAAUGGGCGAAAGCCUGAUCCAGCCAUGCCGCGUGUGUGAAGAAGGUCUUCGGAUUGUAAAGCACUUUAAGUUGGGAGGAAGGGUUGUAGAUUAAUACUCUGCAAUUUUGACGUUACCGACAGAAUAAGCACCGGCUAACUCUGUGCCAGCAGCCGCGGUAACAC